rnacentral:lncRNA from 10 species
CCGUAAGCUAUCAAGGCAUAGUAAUAAUCCUGGAAAGCACAAAUUUAAGGCAAAACAUUUGUCAAAGAAACCUGAUUGGAAGAAGCAAUAUAAACAAGUUUAAUGAACAGUCUUUCCUAUGUUUCCGGAUACAAUGAUUAGCUGUACCUGGUGCUAAGUGGAUAAUUGAAUGAGUCUGUGAAUAAAUAAGCAAAUAAGCCACUGAGUCAAUUAUUUAUAAACAUCUAUAAUUAUUAUACACCUCUGAGGGGCCCUUGGAUCAAGUUUCAUCCCAGCCCAUGAAUAAGUGUUGGGUUGCCUGUAGAUAUUAAAAGCCCUGAGGAAAUGUUCGAGGAGAGAGAGAAUCUAUCUAUAGCAAUCAUCUGAUUACAAAAAUAAUUAUAAAAGUCAUGGACCCAUGUGAGAUGGAGUGAUUUGCUGUUAAAGAGUCAAGUUAUCAGUGGUGAAGAUAGAUGAGAGGCCCUGGAUAGAUGAAAAGAGCCAUCCCAUUUGGGCAACCAGUGUCCAUCACUUGUUCAUCAAGGCUUACAACCAACCCAGAAGAGAAUGUCAC